AAAAAAAGUCUCAGAGGUGACACGUGACACGUGACACGUGACAGCAGGUAAAUAAGGAUGUGCUGAUACACAGGUAAUGAAUAAAUGAAGUGAAGUGAAGCGUUGGUGGUUUUAUAUUUGAAUCCGUGCUGCUGUGUAUAAAGCGCAUCUCUCAGUCCAGUGCAGAUGUUCACGAUGAUAGUUCACGUGUUUUUGCUUCUUUAUAAAAAAAAGUGUGUGUUGGAAAGGCGCUGUAUAGUAAACAAACAAAUAAACAAGUGUUUACAGCACGGCUACAGGGUCAGUCAUCGGAUACUCGUGGUUAUAAAUCGUUUCUCCAUGUAGGGUGUAAAUGUUAGCGUUCUUCUAAAGAUCAUAUCAAGGUCGUCUCUCCUCACGCGUCUGUAAUCCUAAUAAUCGAAAACCUGCACUGUCCGAGGUCUGUCCGAUGCACUGUCCGAGGUCUGAUGCACUGUCCGAGGUCUGAUGCAUUGCCUGAGGUCUGUCCGAUGCACUGUCCAAGGUCUGAUGCACUGUCCGAGGUCUGUCCGAUGCACUGUCCGAGGUCUGAUGCAUUGCCCGAGGUCUGUCCGAUGCACUGUCCGAGGUCUGAUGCAUUGCCCGAGGUCUGUCCGAUGCACUGUCCGAGGUCUGUUUGAUGCACUGUCCGAGGUAUGUCUGAUGCACUGUCCGAGUCACUGAUGCACUGUUCGAGGUCUGUAAGAUGCAGUGUCCGAGGUGUGUCCAAG
ensembl:lncRNA